rfam:Gossypium arboreum cultivar AKA8401 contig_72180_1, whole genome shotgun sequence.
AAUCCCAUAUGAGGACACUAAUGAAGUAAUUCCUUGAAUCUUUCCUACACCUCGUUUAAAGAUUCGUCAUCUAAUUUUUGGAAAGUUGUUAUCUCAUUACGCAACUU